ensembl:lncRNA
GCUACAGUCAACAUCUCUGUCAGACCACCAACAUACAAACAAACACUUGAGGCAACUUAGCAAACUUUAGCUAGCAUUUUAGCAGAGGUUCACAACUGAGGCAUGGGCCACAGCACAAAACUCCGCAUUUGAACAGUCAAUAGCAGAUACUUCAUAUAAUAAUCAAACACACUUACAGGUUCUGUUUCAGAAGCAUAAGAUUAUCUGAGCAAAGAGGAAAUCCGGAGUAGUCUUUGUGUGUAGUCUGCGUUAUACUCGCCCAGGUUCAGGAAGCUGUCCUCUGUAAAAUGCGCUGUGCACAAGAAAAUUUUUGGUUUGUACUGCUCAGGAACAGCGUCAUCAAUAAACAGUAACCACUCAUUCCUAAUUCAAUCUGUUUCCAGAAGGCAAAACAAAAUGGUUUUGCUUUCUCACUGAAACACACUCCAUGACAUGGUGCCUGAAUUCACUGAAGCCUC